rnacentral:lncRNA from 1 species
CCUAAACAUUAAGAAUAUUAAAAAAAAAUUUCCUAACAGGGAGGGCAAGCAACAGGCCUUCCAUCAUCAGGAGGCUUAACAAGGUCAGGGCCUCCUUAGUGGCAGGCUGCCUUCCUUAUGGUUACAAGAUAGCUGCAGCAGGUCCAGGUGUCACAUCCAUUCUCUUCUGGUAUGUCUCUUUUUAGGAAUUACACAAAUCUUUCCCAGGUACUCUGCCCAACCAGUUGUAAAAGUCAGCUAUUGCCAUAGUAAUAAUGAGUAACAGAGUACCCAUUUGUAGUAAAGAAAAAGUGUAUAUGUUUAUACUUAUAAUUUAACUGUGGUUUGGCUCUUGUAGGCUGAGCAGAUCUACUUUAGUUUACAGGGGCUUCUGGGAAUAGCUCUAGGCUCUGGGUUGGCUUCAGGUCUGCUUCAGUGGUGUUUGUUUUGGGACAUGGACUGAAGGACAGCUACUACUAAAGACACAUCUCUUCUGAUGGCGGAUAAACUUGAAUAAGAGCUGGGUCACACUGUACGUGCACAUUUAAGCCCUGUGACUAGCCAUCUACUGAAUCCCACUGGCCAAAGCAAGUUCCAUAGGCAAGUCUCACACAAGUGGGAUGGAGAUGUAAACUCCACUCAAAGUGGGAAGAGUUGGGUAGUGAAUAUUUAAUGAACAAUAAUCCAUAUUAUUACAUUCUCUCCUCCCAAAGCUGAUUUCGUCUCUUGGGAUAUAAACCAGAAUUUCUAAUUCCUAAAAUAAUUGCUGAAAAGAGAAAUGAGUAUUAUCAAUAAUGCUUAAACUAAUCACCCUAGGGUUGUUGGGAGUCAUGACCCCUGGAGGAAUCUAGUGGUAAUGUGCUCGGCACAAGCAGUUCAUCAGUGCAAUUCAUCCAUCAUCACAGAGACUCACAGAUCAGGAUGAAUUGUGUACCUCCAACACUGGAGCGGGUGUGCCUCCAGGGCUGAAUCUGUGCCUUACCAAUCUGAGAAUGUCUCACUCACACAAGAACACUCAGCAGGGUGCCUCGCCCACUGGAUGAGCUAAACCACAUUCUUGCCCUUGGCACUGACAUUUGUGCAUAAAGUAUAGUUCCUGCCCUCAAGA